UGGGGAAUAUCGCGCAAUGGCCGCAAGGCUGACGCAGCGACGCCGCGUGUGGGAGGACGCCCCUCGGGGUGUAAACCACUGUUGCCCGGGACGAACACCCUGUUUAGACAGGGCUGACGGUACCGGGUGAGGAAGCACCGGCUAACUCCGUGCCAGCAGCCGCGGUAAUACGGAGGGUGCGAGCGUUGUCCGGAAUCACUGGGCGUAAAGGGCGCGUAGGCGGCGCGGGAAGCGGGCGGUGAAAGCCCGGGGCUCAACCCCGGGUCGGCCGUGCGAACUCCCGGGCUCGAGCACUGUAGGGGCAGGUGGAAUUCCGGGUGUAGCGGUGGAAUGCGUAGAGAUCCGGAAGAACACCGGUGGCGAAGGCGGCCUGCUGGGCAGUGGCUGACGCUGAGGCGCGACAGCGUGGGGAGCAAACAG
rnacentral:rRNA from 1 species